rnacentral:rRNA from 1 species
GACGAACGCUGGCGGCGUGCUUAACACAUGCAAGUCGAACGGAAAGGCCCUGCUUUUGUGGGGUGCUCGAGUGGCGAACGGGUGAGUAACACGUGAGUAACCUGCCCCUGACUUUGGGAUAUCUUCAGGAAACAGGGGCUAAUACCGGAUAUGAUCUCCUGCUGCAUGGUGGGGGUUGGAAAGUUUCGGAGGUUGGGGAUGGACUCGCGGCUUAUCAGCUUGGUGGUGGGGUAGUGGCUUACCAAGGCUUUGACGGGUAGCCGGCCUGAGAGGGUGACCGGCCACAUAGGGACUGAGAUACGGCCCAGACAGCUACGUGAGGCAGCAGAGAGGGGUGUUGCACAAAAGGCGGAAGCAAGAGUCAGCAACGACGCGUGCGGGAUGGCGGCCGUCAGGUUGUAAGCCACUUUCGAAUGUGUCGGAGCGUGAGGGACGGAAAUGGGGAAAGAAGCAACGGCUAAUUACAU